rnacentral:rRNA from 1 species
CCUACGGGUGGCAGCAGUGAGGAAUAUUGGUCAAUGGGCGGAAGCCUGAACCAGCCAAGUAGCGUGCAGGAUGACGGUCCUACGGGUUGUAAACUGCUUUUAUACGGGAAUAACGCGCCUUACGUGUAGGGCUUUGCAUGUACCGUAUGAAUAAGGACCGGCUAAUUCCGUGCCAGCAGCCGCGGUAAUACGGAAGGUCCGGGCGUUAUCCGGAUUUAUUGGGUUUAAAGGGUGCGUAGGCCGCAUGUCAAGCGUGCUGUGAAAUGUCCGGGCUCAACCCGGGCCUUGCAGCGCGAACUGGGGGGCUUGAGUGCGCGAGAGGCAGGCGGAAUUCGUGGUGUAGCGGUGAAAUGCUUAGAUAUGACGAAGAACCCCGAUUGCGAAGGCAGCUUGCUGCAGCGGAACUGACGCUGAUGCACGAAAGCGCGGGUAUCGAACAGGAUUAGAUACCCGUGUAGUC